CAUAUCUAAAACUAAAUAUACUUCCAACUAUUGAAAAAAAUGUUCUAGAAGAAUUCUUAGAUUUAGCAGCUUGAUGAGCUCAAAAUCAACUAAUUGGUAAAUUUUCAGACAUUUUGAGUUUGAAACUUAUACAAGGUUUCAAGAAUGACCUACAGCGUCAACUCCUUUUUAUAAAAGAUUUCUUUUUCUAUUUUGAAUGAAGAAUUUUUUUUUUGAAUCAAGAAUAAAAAGUUCUUAAAAAAAAAAAAAAAAAAAAAAAAAAAGUUUUUUAUUUGCUGAAGAGAAUUCAUUUUGGAUGAAGAAUUUUGGUUGUGUUGAUUAAACAAAAUAUAAUCUUUAAUGAAGUCACAAUAGUUGUCAGUUGAAGAUAUUUUCUCUCUUGAGCUAAGAUGAAAUUUUAGACAAAUCAUUUUUUAAGCGCGAUCACUGAUUGUUAUUCAAUCAAAAAAAGAAUGAUAUACAAUAUCUUCAGAGUUUAAAUGCCUCUUCACCUAAGAAGACGUUACCAUCGAUAUGGAGGAAUACUCAGGAUCCUGACAUAUCGGUCGUAGAUGUCUACGACAUUGCAUCUGAGAUAAGGAAAAGAAUGCGAAAAAUUGAUAGAUUCUUUCGGAACUGAUGCUGUUACUGGACUCAUGCCAAAAGUUAUUAAUGCAUUGGAGUUAUUAGAAAACCUUGCUACAAAAAAUGAACGAGAAAUCACAACUGUGCAAGAAUUGACCGCACGAAUUUCGCAAUUGGAAAAUGAUAAAAUCGGAAAAGCAGAAGAUCGGCAGAGAUUUGAGAAAGUAAGU